rnacentral:tRNA from 2 species
GCCACUUUAGCUCAGUUGGUAGAGCUCCUGUCUUGUAAACAGGUGGUCGUCGGUUCAAGUCCGACAAGUGGCUCCA